AGCGAACACUGGCGGCAGGCUUAACACAUGCAAGUCGAGCGGGCAUCUUCGGAUGUCAGCGGCAGACGGGUGAGUAACACGUGGGAACGUACCCUUCGGUUCGGAACAACUCUGGGAAACUGGAGCUAAUACCGGAUACGCCCUUAUGGGGAAAGGCUUACUGCCGAAGGAUCGGCCCGCGUCUGAUUAGCUAGUUGGUGGGGUAACGGCCUACCAAGGCGACGAUCAGUAGCUGGUCCGAGAGGAUGAUCAGCCACACUGGGACUGAGACACGGCCCAGCCCCCUACGGGGGGCAGGAGGGGGGAAUAUUGGAAAAGGGGCCAAACCCUAAUCCAGCCUGGCCGGGGGGGGGAUGAAGGCCUUGGGUUUGAAAAGCCCUUUUGCCCGGGAGGAUAAUGACGGUCCCGAAAAAAAAAGCCCCGGCAAACUUGGU
rnacentral:rRNA from 1 species